GAUGAACGCUGGCGGCGUGCCUAAUACAUGCAAGUCGAGCGAACGGACGAGAAGCUUGCUUCUCUGAUGUUAGCGGCGGACGGGUGAGUAACACGUGGAUAACCUACCUAUAAGACUGGGAUAACUUCGGGAAACCGGAGCUAAUACCGGAUAAUAUUUUGAACCGCAUGGUUCAAAAGUGAAAGACGGUCUUGCUGUCACUUAUAGAUGGAUCCGCGCUGCAUUAGCUAGUUGGUAAGGUAACGGCUUACCAAGGCAACGAUGCAUAGCCGACCUGAGAGGGUGAUCGGCCACACGGGAACUGGAACACGGUCCAGACUCCUACGGGAGGCAGCAGUAGGGAAUCUUCCGCAAUGGGCGAAAGCCUGACGGAGCAACGCCGCGUGAGUGAUGAAGGUCUUCGGAUCGUAAUACUCUGUUAUUAGGGAUGAACAUAUGUGUAAGUAACUGUGCACAUCUUGACGGUACCUAAUCAGAAAGCCACGGCUAACUACGUG
rnacentral:rRNA from 1 species